GUUUUUUUGAGAAUAAUAUAAAGUUUAAUUUGCCCCCUGAAUUAAAUUUAAAGGGCUGCAGUAUAUUGACUGUACAAAGGUAGCAUAAUCAAUAGUCUUUUAAUUGAAGACUGGUAUGAAUGAUUUGAUGAAAUAUAAACUGUCUCUUUUUUAAAAAUAGAAUUUAAUUUUUUAGUUAAAAAGCUAAAAUAUAUAUAAAAGACGAGAAGACCCUAUAGAGUUUAAUAAUUUUUUAUUUUUAAAUAAUUUAUAUAUUUUAUAAUUUAAAAAUAAAAAAUUAUUUUGUUGGGGUGAUAGAAAAAUUAAAAUAACUUUUUUUAAAAAUUAACAUUAAUAUAUGAAUAUAUGAUCCAUAAUUUAUGAUUAAAAGAAUAAAUUACCUUAGGGAUAACAGCGUAAUUUUUUUUUUUAGUUCGUAUAAAAAAAAGAGUUUGCGACCUCGAUGUUGGAUUAAGAUAAAAUUUAAAUGCAAAAGUUUAAAAUUUUUGAUCUGUUCGAUCAUUAAAAUCUU
rnacentral:rRNA from 1 species